CGCUGGCGGCGUGCCUAACACAUGCAAGUCGAGCGAAUGAAGUUCCUUCGGGAACGGAUUUAGCGGCGGACGGGUGAGUAACACGUGGGCAACCUGCCUCAUAGAGGGGAAUAGCCUUCCGAAAGGGAGAUUAAUACCGCAUAAGAUUGUAGUACCGCAUGGUACAGCAAUUAAAGGAGCAAUCCGCUAUGAGAUGGGCCCGCGGCGCAUUAGCUAGUUGGUGAGGUAACGGCUCACCAAGGCGACGAUGCGUAGCCGACCUGAGAGGGUGAUCGGCCACAUUGGGACUGAGACACGGCCCAGACUCCUACGGGAGGCAGCAGUGGGGAAUAUUGCACAAUGGGGGAAACCCUGAUGCAGCAACGCCGCGUGAGUGAUGACGGCCUUCGGGUUGUAAAGCUCUGUCUUCAGGGACGAUAAUGACGGUACCUGAGGAGGAAGCCACGGCUAACUACGUG
rnacentral:rRNA from 1 species